rnacentral:rRNA from 1 species
GAUGAACGCUGGCGGCGUGCCUAAUACAUGCAAGUCGAGCGAACAGAUGAGGAGCUUGCUCCUCUGACGUUAGCGGCGGACGGGUGAGUAACACGUGGAUAACCUACCUAUAAGACUGGGAUAACUUCGGGAAACCGGAGCUAAUACCGGAUAAUAUAUUGAACCGCGUGGUUCAAUAGUGAAAGACGGUUUUGCUGUCACUUAUAGAUGGAUCCGCGCCGCAUUAGCUAGUUGGUAAGGUAACGGCUUACCAAGGCAACGAUGCGUAGCCGACCUGAGAGGGUGAUCGGCCACACUGGAACUGAGACACGGUCCAGACUCCUACGGGAGGCAGCAGUAGGGAAUCUUCCGCAAUGGGCGAAAGCCUGACGGAGCAACGCCGCGUGAGUGAUGAAGGUCUUCGGAUCGUAAAACCCUGUUAUUAGGGAAGAACAAAUGUGUAAGUAACUAUGCACGUCUUGACGGUACCUAAUCAGAAAGCCACGGCUAACUACGUG